UCCCUGCUGGCUCAGACAGUAAAGAAUUUGCCUGCAAUGCAGGAUACCUGGGUUCGAUCCCUGGGUUGGGAA
rnacentral:tRNA from 1 species